GAUGAACGCUGGCGGCGUGCCUAAUACAUGCAAGUCGAGCGAACGGACGAGAAGCUUGCUUCUCUGAUGUUAGCGGCGGACGGGUGAGUAACACGUGGAUAACCUACCUAUAAGACUGGGAUAACUUCGGGAAACCGAAGCUAAUACCGGAUGAUAUUUUGAACCGCAUGGUUCAAAAGUGAAAGACGGUCUUGCUGUCACUUAUAGAUGGAUCCGCGCUGCAUUAGCUAGUUGGUAAGGUAACGGCUUACCAAGGCAACGAUGCAUAGCCGACCUGAGAGGGUGAUCGGCCACACUGGAACUGAGACACGGUCCAGACUCCUACGGGAGGCAGCAGUAGGGAAUCUUCCGCAAUGGGCGAAAGCCUGACGGAGCAACGCCGCGUGAGUGAUGAAGGUCUUCGGAUCGUAAAACUCUGUUAUUAGGGAAGAACAUAUGUGUAAGUAACUGUGCACAUCUUGACGGUACCUAAUCAGAAAGCCACGGCUAACUACGU
rnacentral:rRNA from 1 species